GUGGGGAAUCUUAGACAAUGGGCGCAAGCCUGAUCUAGCCAUGCCGCGUGAGCGAUGAAGGCCUUAGGGUUGUAAAGCUCUUUCGCUGGGGAAGAUAAUGACUGUACCCAGUAAAGAAGCCCCGGCUAACUCCGUGCCAACAGCCGCGGUAAUACGGAGGGGACUAGCGUUGUUCGGAAUUACUGGGCGUAAAGCGCGCGUAGGCGGAUUGGAAAGUUGGGGGUGAAAUCCCGGGGCUCAACCUCGGAACUGCCUUCAAAACUCCCAGUCUUGAGUUCGAGAGAGGUGAGUGGAAUUCCGAGUGUAGAGGUGAAAUUCGUAGAUAUUCGGAGGAACACCAGUGGCGAAGGCGGCUCACUGGCUCGAUACUGACGCUGAGGUGCGAAAGCGUGGGGAGCAAACAGGAUUAGAUACCCCUGUAGUCC
rnacentral:rRNA from 1 species